rnacentral:rRNA from 1 species
UGGCGGACGGGUGAGUAAUGUCUGGGAAACUGCCCGAUGGAGGGGGAUAACUACUGGAAACGGUAGCUAAUACCGCAUAAUGUCUACGGACCAAAGAGGGGGACCUUCGGGCCUCUUGCCAUCGGAUGUGCCCAGAUGGGAUUAGCUAGUAGGUGGGGUAACGGCUCACCUAGGCAACGAUCCCUAGCUGGUCUGAGAGGAUGACCAGCCACACUGGAACUGAGACACGGUCCAG